UGUUACAUAUUAUGGACUGGCUGCGGUUGUGCUUAUCGGUAUGCUUCAUAUAACAGGAUAAAUGAUAUAUAAAUGAUACCAGAAUUGUGGAAGUGCGUAGCACGGAACAAUUCGUAGGUAUCA
rnacentral:ncRNA from 2 species